GCGCCCGUAGCUCAGGUGGAAAGAGCAACGGACUUCUAAUCCGUGAGCCGGGGGUUCGAGUCCUCCCGGGCGCACCA
rnacentral:tRNA from 1 species